rnacentral:sRNA from 1 species
UGCUAGACAUUUGAACUCAGGGCCCCAUACUUGUGCAUCAAGUUUUCUUUCAAUUGGCCAUGUCCCUGGGAUCCUAUACCAGGGAUUUUCUAGAAGAGCAACACUAACAUUUGGGAGAAUAUUUCUUUUUCUUUGUGGAGGGGCUGUGAUAGCAUCAAUUGUCAGCAGUUUUGAAUUCCAUUUUCUAAUUCCUUCACUGUUGUGACAACUGAAACUGUCACCAGAUAUUUCUAAAUGCCCAUUGGGUUGAAAGAGGACAAGGUGAGGUUGUCUUUGCAAACCCUGCCUUAAGUAUUUAUCUCUGCCUGAUAGGUUGGUGUUACGUGCAACCUAGAAACACCUAAGAAAGCCCAGCAUCUGACAAGUAGGUUCACAGGGGAAAAUGCUGGUCCGUCCCCAUUACACUUGUUCUGGAAAUUCCCUGCGUGUUGCAAAAGGAAGAGUCAUCUGUUUUGUUUUGUUUUUCCUCAUGUGCUUGAGGCAGAAAGCAAAGAGAUCCGGGUGUGCGUGAGAGAGAUAGAAAGGUAUUUUCCUAACACAAUUAGAGCCCAGAGAAAUGCCAUGCAAUUAGGUUGAGGAAUGUCUUGUUUAACAUGCACUUGGCAUAACAGAGCCAGCAGGUUGCAAAUUAUGGGAUAUAGAUUUUCAUUAGUGGGUCUGCAUAAUGCAUUCUGUGCAUUUGAAGGCUCAGAUUUGAGGGUUGGUAGGAAGUAUGUAAAUUCUUUGUUGCUGUAACUAAAGCUUAACAUUUUCAGCGCUGAGCUUUUAUUGCUGAUUUUUUGGUUUAAACACACCUUCUGGGCAUUUGCAUUUUGUUUUCAGCUGUCUUUUUUUUUUUCACUUUAGUACAUCUUCAUCAAGGUGCUGCCAUGGGCUAUCAAUUCUGCCAGGAAAGUCAUCUCAGAAUCUUUUCUGGAGUGGAGAGACUAUGCAUGUAAAACUGGACUAUCUCCUCCCUCCCUCAGCCAGGAAGACCAGUGAGGCGGUUUUCUCAUUGACUGACAGAAAAGUUUUCUAUUUGCCCAACUAAAACUCUGUAUCUCCUGAACACCAAGGACUUUGGCUAUUCUCUCUGAAUCUCCUAUCAAUGCAGACAUAGCAGCAUUUGUCCUUUUCAACUGGCUUAUGAGUAUGGCAGGAUAUUUUCAUCCACAUUGCACUAUGUGUCUGGAUUUAAGACUGAAGAACCUCCAGCUGAUGUGUCACAUGCGGUAUUUCUUCAAGUCUACAGAUGGAUAUUUCUCUAGGUUCCAGCUUUUGAGUGUGGCAGUAAUGACACUGGAUACAGCUGUACAAAUAUCUGUGAAUGCACGUGUCUCUCAAGUUUGUUCCUUGCUUCCUAA